AUGUCCCUGUACCGCAAGGAGGAGGUGGGCCAUCCCCGCUCGCAGGACUACCAUCUAUUCUUCAAGCAUGUAGCUGGUCACUACAUCUCCCCUUUCCAUGACAUUCUUCUGAAGGUGAACUGGAAUGAGGAACACGACAUUCCCAGGAAAAAGGCACGGAAUGAUGAAUAUAAGACUUUGUUUACUAUGGUUGUGGAAAUACCUCGGUGGACAAAUGCCAAGAUGGAGAUUGCCACAGAGGAGCCACUGAAUCCCAUUAAACAAGAUAUAAAGACUGGAAAGCUACACUACACACCAAAUAUCUUCCCUCACAAGGGCUAUAUCUGGAACUACGGCGCCCUCCCUCAGAUUCUUUCCCAUGGAGAUGUGGUCCAUGUGAAGAUCCUUGGGAUUUUGGCACUUAUUGAUCAGAGUGAAACAGAUUGGAAAACAAUUGCUAUCAAUGUGAAUGAUCCCGAGGCUGACAAAUUUCAUGAUAUUGAUGAUGUUAAGAAGUUCAAACCAGGUUACUUGGAAGCCACUCUCAAUUGGUUUAGACUCUAUAAAGUACCAGAUGGAAAACCAGAAAACAAGUUGGCUUUUAAUUGAGAAUUCAAAAACAAGGCUUUCACCCUUGACAUUAUUAACUCUGCACAUGAACGUUGCAAAGAGAUGGUCAUGAAGAAAUGUGACAAGGGAGCUAUCAGUUGUGUAAAUGUGCAUAUCUGCAAUAGCCCUUUCCACUGCACUACAGAGGAAGCAAGAUCAUUGGUUGAAUCGGUUCCAGCACCUUCCAUGAGUAAAGAAAGCACUGUAGAAGAAGUGUGGCAUUUCCUCCACAACUGAUGGGGACACGGGACUUCUGCACGGAGAAUUCAACCUCUGAGGACUCCUG